rnacentral:tRNA from 4 species
GCGAGUGUGGCGAAAUUGGUAGACGCGCUAGAUUUAGGUUCUAGUGUCUUUGACGUGACGGUUCGAGUCCGUCCACUCGCACCA